GAUGAACGCUGGCGGCAGGCCUAACACAUGCAAGUCGAACGAGUGGCGGACGGGUGAGUAAUGUCUGGGAAACUGCCUGAUGGAGGGGGAUAACUACUGGAAACGGUAGCUAAUACCGCAUACCAUCGGAUGUGCCCAGAUGGGAUUAGCUAGUAGGUGGGGUAACGGCUCACCCAGGCGACGAUCCCUUGCUGGUUUGAGAGGAUGACCAGCCACACUGGAACUGAGACACGGUCCAGACGCCUACGGGAGGCAGCAGUGGGGAAUAUUGCACAAUGGACGCAAGACUGAUGCAGCCAUGCCGCGUGUAUGAAGAAGGCCUUCGGGUUGUAAAGUACUUUCAGCGGGGAGGCGUUGCCCGCAGAGGAAGCGCCGGCUAACUCCGUGCCAGCAGCCGCGGUAAUUC
rnacentral:rRNA from 1 species